UUUUUAAAAUUUUUACGGCCCGAAUAAUAUUUUGAAGUAUGCCUACUGUUAGCAUUCGAUUUCUCGGAUGACAUAAUUCGAAUAUAUUCGACAGAUCCAAGGUUUCGUAAACGACGAUUUUCCUCAAAUGCUUUAUCAUCUUCAGAUUCUUGGACAUUCUCUGAAGGUAAACUAUCUACCUCCGCAUUGGCCUUUUUCUCACCGACAACAUUAAGUUCUAAUGGUUUGAACGGAGAAGAAUUUCCUUUAUCCACUGAAUUAUAGGAAACAUACUCAACCUUGGUCUUCCCCUGACCACUGCCUGUGUUUGCCGAUUUUUUUGAACUGGAUUUUAAACUGUUUUUAGUUUUUUCACUAUUAUCACCCGAUUUUUUAUUUUGAGCUGAACCAUUGUUUGAUUGAUUGC